UACGGGAGGCAGCAGUGGGGAAUAUUGCACAAUGGGCGCAAGCCUGAUGCAGCCAUGCCGCGUGUAUGAAGAAGGCCUUCGGGUUGUAAAGUACUUUCAGUCGUGAGGAAGGUGUUAAGGUUAAUAACCUUAGCAAUUGACGUUAGCGACAGAAGAAGCACCGGCUAACUCCGUGCCAGCAGCCGCGGUAAUACGGAGGGUGCGAGCGUUAAUCGGAAUUACUGGGCGUAAAGAGCGCGUAGGCUGAUUAGUAAGUUAAAAGUGAAAUCCCAAAGCUUAACUUUGGAAUUGCUUUUUAAAACUGCUAGUCUAGAGAUUGAAAGAGGAUAGAGGAAUUCCUAGUGUAGAGGUGAAAUUCGUAAAUAUUAGGAGGAACACCAGUGGCGAAAGGCGUCUAUCUGGUUCAAAUCUGACGCUGAGGCGCGAAGGCGUGGGGAGCAAACAGGGAUUAGAUACC
rnacentral:rRNA from 1 species